UGAUAGUUCAGUCCUUUCAGAUGUGGAUCAGACAUAUAUACUCUAUGGAGUGUGAAGUGGGAAGAAGGAAAGACAAUAGGAAAAAUGAUCUUCAAUGACAUUAGCAAUCAGCACAAUUUACAAGAGUUAAAGUUACCAUAGGAACACAGAGAAGAUGAAAGUUUACUGCCAGAAUUAAUGCCCCCAACUUUGCUAUGAAGACCAAGGCACUGUGGAAUUGUGUGUCUACGUUUGGAAAGUCAGCUUGUGCCUAAAUGGAUUUUGAAGAUAUCAGGCAUUCUAGGAUUGAGAAUGAGAAUUCCUUUUGUUACAACAGGCAAGAUUGCCUGGUGAUUUAUUUCAAGUUGAGCAUUCAGAGUUUGAAGGUGAACUCAUUAGCCAAGUAAGUGCAUAUCCGUCUCAGUCAGUGUAUGGUACUCACAGCAUCAAACAACUACAGCUUUCUUCCUAGGCUAUCUAAUGUAUUUGUAAUAGUCACUUUUUGGAAAAUUGUAUUUAACAUGUUUAGGCUAUAUUGCCACAUUUAAAAAUCAUCAACUACUUUGUCAACUUCAAUAUGGUAAAAUUAAGUUUAAAGGUCACCUUUAUAUCUUUAUGUGUCCUUUAUAUCUUAUUCUCUUAUUUUUACAGUUAUUUAAAUUCCAAAUAUACCCUGAUUGUAAAUGGGGUAAAGAAGCAUGACUCAUUUGAAGAAUCAGAUAAC